ACGAAUUUAGACCUGAGAGUAGGACCUGGGAGUUAUACCCUGUAUCUUUAGAUAUUUAAAUAAAAGUAAACAAAAUCUACCCUCAAAUGGCUCUUUAAGCCAGUUGAGGGUAGAUAAAACAUUACAUGAUCAAAUAAUGUAGGUUAAAAUCAGGUCGUUCAGUGACAGGUCCACGCGGUUUUGUAUUUGGUUGGUUAGCCAAUAAAUGUUAUAACUACCCGAAAAUGUACAAAUUGUUUGUUUACUUUUAUUUAAAAUACCUAAAGAUACAGAGUAUAGGUAUAUUAGGUAUGAUAUCGUGAACGAUACGAAAAACCUCGGUCUUCGUGUGCGGACUGUAUUGCUGUAAAAUAUAUCGUUUUCAUCCCAUCUUAGCGGCUCAAAAAAAACAUUCUUUGCAUUAUGAGCAUUUAUCCCAAAAUUUUAGUUGAGUUUGAAGUCGCCAAUAAAGUACCUAUAGUCAGCAACGGACGUGCCUAAGGGGGCGAUCAGGAAGUUGUCAAAAUGAUCUAAACAUAACUUUGUUGUUAAGGCAGUAAGCGCGUAUUAAGUAAAUGUUUUUGGACACCCCGCUUCGUCGCUUCUGCUGACCGUACUCUGGAAUGGCACCCCAAUAUGGUAGUUUAAUGUACGUAGGUGCUAAGUUAUUUGUACGGCAUUGCGCAGAUAUAGAUAUUAUAGAUAGACAGCAGAAUAACCAAUGUAUUGUAGAAAUGGGGACGGGCUGGUAUGUCACCGUUUUAAUUACCUAUAUACUUUAAAGUUCGCUGAAUUUUGACCCACACAAAAGUUCAUCAUUAAGAGUAAUUUAAGUGCGUUCAUGUCUGAUUGAGUGAUUGUGGUCGUUAACUACACGCGUUUAGAACAUAACGUAGAAAGAUGUGCGGAGCGCGUAUAACUGUAACAUAAUGAUGGGUGAAUCAAUUUUUUCUUGUCACUCGUAAAAUGUCAUUUUUCCUAUAUUCCGUUGAUCACAUGCAUAUUCAACCAUUGCAUUAAACAACGGCGUGUUUUAACCUUUUUGACGCCAAUGACGGAUAUAUCCGAUCCGCACCGUAGGUCCAACGGUGAAGAAGGAUUAAUCCGUCACAGACCACCGAGCAACAUAGAUCUACGUGCAUACGCAUAAAGUUCAAUUUCAGUUUUGACACUUCGGUGACGUGGCGUAUGAGUGACAGCUUUUGUGACACGGCGUUGAAAAGGUUAAUGGUAGGCGCUUACCACUACAUAAAGUCGCAUACUAGGCGGGUUUAUGGCAGUGAAUGUGUUAAAUGUCAAGUUUUUAUGAAAAUAUGUAUUAUAAUAUGUUUUUAAUGACACCUCUCCACUUUGUUAUGUCAUUUAAUAGUGUGAAGGAUAUCAUUUAUCAUAUUACGUAGGUACGGCUUUAUUCAGUGAUGUUAAAACAGUUUCAUACCGAGGCCCCAGUAGUCGCGAUAGUAAGAAAAUGUAAUUAAGACUAGCACACGUAAGUUUUUAUUUUUAUAUACGUUACGACUAGGCUAAUUGUUCUAUUGUAGUCGCGUUGUGUUGAGUAUGUUCCGUUGUAUCGGUUCGGAUAAUCAAUAAAUAUUUUAACUGUA